GGUAUUUUUAUCAUGGGAAAUUUGUUUCUCUGGUGUCAUUGUGUUUACACACUAGGAGAAUUGAGACUGUUGGAGAUCCAAGGUACUGUGCACCCUGGAGAAGUCCCACAGGGGUGUGGCCAGCCCUGUUCAUCAUCAGAACACCCUGCCAAGAGGCUGUAAACAAGACGCGAUGACACCAAAGACAACAGGGAAAUGGCUUCUCAACUCUUCCCCACAACCUGCGAGGAUUAGAGGCAUAACAGGUG